AUGCAGGAGUUUGAAGUUCCCACAGGAGUCCAGACAGAGAAGGGCGCAGGUGACAAGGCCUGUCCUCAGCCCUGCAUGCGGCCCAAAGAGCUGCGGCUAGAGAUGGAGAGUGCCUGGGGAACACCAACCUGCACUGCCUGCCGCGAGCACCCAGGAGGGCCGAGAAACGGUGCUCACUGGGGCAGUGCAUUUCUCUUGCAUGGGGAAAUUGCACGGCACAGCCUGUGGCACGGCCCCAAGUCACCAGGAGAGCAGGGAAGCGUGGUUUUUCUCAGGGCAGUUCCAAUACCAGCUUCCACGUCCUCACCAGCUGGUGUAGUUCAGAUAACCACAAGGAGAAGGACCAAACCCAGCCUACAGCGUGGGCAUAGCUGGGAAGAUCUACAGCACACAGUAUGGGCACAUCAGGCAUCCUCAAGCCCUCACCCCUCCUACUCUGGCAGGACAGCGCUGCCCCGUGGCACCAGUGGACUUGAGCUUCACCCCAACCCUAACCCUGGCCCUGACCUUGCUGACCAAGGACAUGCUGGCCAGAGACAUUUUGCCCUGGCCCUUCUUGUUCUCCAGCUGCCCUUGGGCUCCACGAAGCGGGUGGACGAGGCGUCGGCUCACAACACUCCUGCUGCCCCACAGGGAUGUCCGGCAGAGGAGGGCGACCGCUUCACAUGCUGCACACGAAAGGAAGACCCUGAAGGCUUGGAGGCUCUACCACCUCCGCUAGGCAGUCCUCAGUGGUGGGGAGAAAGAGAGGGAGGGACAUCAGCAGCCAAAAUAGCAUUCAAGAACUGUCCCUUGAGGAAAGCGGAGCUUAAAAAACACCAUACAGAAUCCCAGCAGAAGCUAACAGCUCAUCUAUUUAGCAUCUCAAUUUUCUUGGAGAUUUGCAGCAGGAGUAUGGAUGGGUGUGGUUCUCUCCUAUUAUACUAUUUCUCUUUAAAUUAUAACACAGUGGAAAGGCAGAAAAGACCAAGAGAACAUCUUGCAUCUCUUCUAGGGACCAUCAUUACAUGCAGAAAACAGUUAUUACACCAACAGGUAAAUCAAAAGCUUUUUCUUUCACAGGUGUCGGCUCCAGCGCAGCGACUCACAGCUGGGGAAGCUGAUUUCAGAAUACAAAUGAACACUUUGCAUAGUCAUCCCACCAGUAAUGAGCUGUCUCUUCAGCUCCCAAAAUCAUGCAGAUGA
rnacentral:lncRNA from 1 species